CGGACGGGUGAGUAAUGUCUGGGAAACUGCCCGGAUGAGGGGGAUAACUACUGGAAACGGUAGCUAAUACCGCAUAACGUCGCAAGACCAAAGAGGGGGACCUUCGGGCCUCUUGCCAUCGGAUGUGCCAGAUGGGAUUAGCUAGUAGGUGGGGUAACGGCUCACCUAGGCGACGAUCCCUAGCUGGUCUGAGAGGAUGACCAGCCACACUGGAACUGAGACACGGUCCAG
rnacentral:rRNA from 1 species